CCUACGGGGGGCUGCAGUCGAGAAUCAUUCACAAUGGGGGAAACCCUGAUGGUGCGACGCCGCGUGGGGGAAUGAAGGUCUUCGGAUUGUAAACCCCUGUCAUGUGGGAGCAAAUUAACAAGAUAGUACCACAAGAGGAAGAGACGGCUAACUCUGUGCCAGCAGCCGCGGUAAUACAGAGGGCUCAAGCGUUGUUCGGAAUCACUGGGCGUAAGGCGUGCGUAGGCUGUUUCGUAAGUCGUGUGUGAAAGGCGCGGGCUCAACCCGCGGACGGCACAUGAUACUGCGGGACUAGAGUAAUGGAGGGGGAACCGGAAUUCUCGGUGUAGCAGUGAAAUGCGUAGAUAUCGAGAGGAACACUCGUGGCGAAGGCGGGUUCCUGGACAUUAACUGACGCUGAGGCACGAAGGCCAGGGGAGCGAAAGGGAUUAGAUACCCGGGUAGUC
rnacentral:rRNA from 1 species